rnacentral:rRNA from 1 species
CCUACGGGUGGCUGCAGUGAGGAAUAUUGGUCAAUGGGCGAGAGCCUGAACCAGCCAUGCCGCGUGCAGGAAGACGGCCCUACGGGUUGUAAACUGCUUUUGUUUGGGAAGAAAAGGCGCUACGUGUAGUGCACUGACGGUACCAGAUGAAUAAGCAUCGGCUAACUCCGUGCCAGCAGCCGCGGUAAUACGGAGGAUGCGAGCGUUAUCCGGAUUUAAGGGGUUUUAAGGGGAAGGAGGCGGCAGUCGAGAAAUCCCCCAGCUUAACUGGGGAACUGCCAUAGAUACUGGUUUUCUUGAGUACAGUUGAAGUAGGCGGAAUGUGUAAUGUAGCGGUGAAAUGCUUAGAUAUUACACAGAACACCGAUUGCGAAGGCAGCUUGCUAAGCUGUUACUGACGCUGAUGCACGAAAGCGUGGGGAGCGAACAGGAUUAGAUACCCGUGUAGUC